rnacentral:lncRNA from 10 species
CAAAACAAGGUGGAUGCAGGUGAUGUGGUUCUGGCCAAGUGGAACUCUGUUACCAAACCAGUGGGGACAGCACAAGCCACAUUUGUGACUCCUAUUUUUCCUGUGGGUGGGGAACCAAAAGAGAACCAGAAAAAAAACCCAGCUGGAUAUGCCCAGGGCCAUGGUCUGCUGACCCCGCCCUUGCCACGCCCUCUCAUCGCCUUCCUGGCUGCUGCCCGAGGACCACCAGGCCAGCCUCGGGGCUCUCAACCCCUCUUCCCACAUGCCUUGGGGCCCGGCCCUGAGGGUGCCCUCCUUGAGCACAUGCAGACCCGCCUCUGUCUCCCUGCUGCAGUGUUGUUGGGGGCUUUGACGUACUGACAGCCAUGGAGAAUGUGGAGAGUGACCCCAAAACUGACCGCCCUAAGGAGGAGAUCCGCAUCGAUGCCACUACAGUGUUCGUGGACCCCUAUGAGGAGGCUGAUGCCCAGAUCGCCCAGGAGCGGAAGACACAGCUCGAGGCAGCCCCGGAGACCAAAGUGAAGAGCAGCCAGCCCGAGGCAGGGAGCCAGGGCCCCCAGACCUUCCGCCAGGGCGUGGGCAAGUACAUCAACCCAGCAGCCACGAAGCGAGCGGCAGAGGAAGAGCCCUCAACCAGCGCCACUGUCCCCAUGUCCAAGAAGAAGCCCAGUCGGGGUUUUGGGGACUUCAGCUCCUGGUAG